GUGUCUGAGAUGGAGGCCUAGGUUUGCAGUCUGCAGAGCUAUCUACAGGGCUGGUGGGAGACCUCUGAAAAGAAACCGGAGAAGCUUGCUGACAAAAGACUGGAAUUCUGGGCUCAGCCGCCUCCAGGACCGAGGGGCCCAUUGGGCAAUCCAUCACGGAGCACACCUGGCCUGCCCAAAGGACACAGCAGAAAUGCUGGAAGACCAAGAGAAGCCAGACUGAAGUCUCACAGGCCUGCCUUCCAAUUUUACUUCUGUUACUUUCUUCCACCUAUCAUUUUGGGCUGGUUUCUUUAACUUUCUGAUUUCCC
rnacentral:lncRNA from 1 species